rnacentral:rRNA from 1 species
GACGAACGCUGGCGGCGUGCUUAACACAUGCAAGUCGAACGGAAAGGCCCUGCUUUUGUGGUGUGCUCGAGUGGCGAACGGGUGAGUAACACGUGAGUAACCUGCCCUUGACUUUGGGAUAACUUCCGGAAACUGGGGCUAAUACGCGAUAGGAGCACCUGCUGCAUGGUGGGGGCUGGAAAGUUUCGGCGGUUGGGGAUGGACUCGCGGCUUAUCAGCUUGUUGGUGGUGUAGUGGCUUACCAAGGCCUUGACGGGUCGCCGGCCUGAGAGGGUGACCAGCCACAUUGGGACUGCGGUACGGACCAGUCUGCUACGGGAGGCAGCAGUGGGGAAUAUUGCCCAAUGGGCGGAAGCCUGAUGCAGCAGCGCCGCGUGCGGGAUGAAGGCCUUCGCGUUGUAAACCGCUUUCGCCUGUGACGAAGCGUGAGUGACGGUAAUGGGUAAAGAAGCACCGGCUAACUACGUG